rnacentral:rRNA from 1 species
UGUUAAAGAACAAGAGAGAAACACCCUGAGSACGCCCGAUCUUAGAACCUGAGCAGAGUUGGGCCCAGUUAGCACUUAGAUGGGAGACCGUGUGGGAAUACCAGGUGCUGUAACCU